GUCAAACAUAUGACGAUAUGAUGCCAAGUUCGGUAUAAGUUAACCCUUUAGCAUUUAAAUUGGCCAUAUCCAAUCAAAAUAUUCUAUAUUUUAUCUCCAAACAGGCCAGAUCUGGCCUCUUACAUCUACCCUACAAUGUCGUUCUAAAAAUAA